GAUGAAGAACGCAGCGAAAUGCGAUAAGUAAUGCGAAUUGCAGAAUUUCCGUGAGUCAUCGAAUCUUUGAACGCACAUUGCGCCCGCCAGUAUUCUGGCGGGCAUGCCUGUUCGAGCGUCAUUUCAACCAUCAAGCCCCAGGCUUGUGUUGGGGACCUGCGGCUGCCGCAGGCCCUGAAAACCAGUGGCGGGCUCGCUGUCACACCGGGCGUAGUAGAUUUUAUCUCGCUCAGGGCGUGCUGCGGGUCCCGGCCGUUAAAAGCCUUUUUUUACCCAAGGUUGACCUCGGAUCAGGUAGGAAGACCCGCUGAACUUAAGCAUAUCAAUAAGCGGAGGA
rnacentral:misc_RNA from 1 species